rnacentral:rRNA from 1 species
CAGCAGCCGCGGUAAUACAUGAGUAACAAGCGUUGUUCGUAUUGAUUGGGUGUAUAGGAUGCGUAGGUUCCUAAAAUAAUUCAUAUAUACUAAAAAAGUUGUUUUUUAUUGUAUGUUUUAUUUUGUGGUAGAGUUUUUUAGGAAAAAAUAGAAAUUUUAAAUUAGUGAUAAAAUACUUAUAGUUUAAAAUUACUUCUAAAAGCGAAGGCAAUUUUUUAUAAAAGACUGACACUCAUGCAUGAAAGUAUAGUUAAUGAAUAGGAUUUGAGACCCUACUAGUCUAUACUGUAAAAUAUAAGUAUAUUUUCGUUUUAAAACGAAAUAUUUAGCAAAAUUACUUCACCUGGGUAGUACAACCGCAAGGUUGAAACUCAACAAAAUUGGCGGGAAUUUGUUCGAACGGUGGAAUAUGUGGUUUAAUGCGAUAAUCCACGCAAAACCUUACCAACAUCAUAAGCAUAUAUUUACAGUUUUUAUAUUAUUUUGUAUUAUAUUUGCAUGGCAUUGCAUGGCUGUCGUCAGUUCGUAUCGUAAGAUGUAAAAUUUAGUUUUAUUUACGAACGCAACUCUAUACAUAAAUGUUAUUUUUUUUAUGUAUAUGACUGAAGUCAAGUCUUUAUGAUCCUUGUAUGUUGGGCUACACACGUGUUACAAAGGUAAAAACAAAGAGUCGCUAAAAAGUAAUUUGAAGCCAAUCUCCAAAAAUUACCUUAGUUCAGAUUGUUCUCUGAAAUUCGAGAAUAUGAAGUCGAAAUCGUUAGUAAUCGUAAAUAGUAUGUUACGGUGAAUUAAUAGUCAAAUUUUGCACACACCGCCCGU